rnacentral:rRNA from 1 species
UACGUAGGGUGCGAGCGUUAAUCGGAAUUACUGGGCGUAAAGCGUGCGCAGGCGGUUCGUUGUGUCGGCGGGGAAAGUCCCGGGCUCAACCUGGGAAUGGCCGUUGAAACUGGCGAACUGGAGUGUGGCAGAGGGGGGUGGAAUUCCGCGUGUAGCAGUGAAAUGCGUAGAGAUGCGGAGGAACACCGAUGGCGAAGGCAGCCCCCUGGGCUGACACUGACGCUCAGGCACGAAAGCGUGGGGAGCAAACAGG